ACGGGUGAGGAAUACAUCGGAAUCUACCUUUUCGUGGGGGAUAACGUAGGGAAACUUACGCUAAUACCGCAUAAGACCUUCGGGUGAAAGUGGGGGACCUUCGGGCCUCACGCGGAUAGAUGAGCCGAUGUCGGAUUAGCUUGUUGGCGGGGUAAAAGCCCACCAAGGCGACGAUCCGUAGCUGGUCUGAGAGGAUGAUCAGCCACACUGGAACUGAGACACGGUCCAGACUCCUACGGGAGGCAGCAGUGGGGAAUAUUGGACAAUGGGCGCAAGCCUGAUCCAGCCAUACCGCGUGGGUGAAGAAGGCCUUCGGGUUGUAAAGCCCUUUUGUUGGGAAAGAAAUCCUGCCGGUUAAUAACCAGUAGGGAUGACGGUACCCAAAGAAUAAGCACCGGCUAACUUCGUGCCAGCAGCCGCGGUAAUACGAAGGGUGCAAGCGUUACUCGGAAUUACUGGGCGUAAAGCGUGCGUAGGUGGUUGUUUAAGUCUGCUGUGAAAGCCCUGGGCUCAACCUGGGAAUUGCAGUGGAUACUGGGCGACUAGAGUGUGGUAGAGGAUAGUGGAAUUUCCGGU
rnacentral:rRNA from 1 species